UGGGAUAUAGCUCAGUGACAAAGCGCUUGCCUAGCAAGUGCAAUGUCCUGGGUUCGAUCCCCAGUACCAA
rnacentral:tRNA from 1 species